GAAGUCCAAAUAAUGACUUAGACCCAGACGAAUGUAUGCAGCGCACUGGUGGCCUUUUUGGUUCUAGAAGACCAGCAUUAAGUGGCACAGGAAAUGGUGAUACUUCUCAAAGCAGAAGUGGCAGUGGAAGUGAACGAGGUAAGUUCUUAUUUUGUUUACCUGAAAGAAGUUAAAAUCAUUGUAUUCCAAAUUUAAUUUUUUUCUAUACUUCACUGGUUGGAAACAAAUUUAAUUUUUGAAGUUAAAGGUAACUGUUAUUGCUUUUAUACACUGUGAGGACCAUAAAUUUACACAGCCUGUUUUAGAUAGUUCCUUAAUACCCUCCAGGUUAUUGCCUCUCUGAUCCAGCAAUUCCAUUAUAGGAAUUAUAUACUAUAGAUAUAUUUGCAAAUACAUGUACAAGGAUGUUCACUGAGAUGUCAUUUAUAAUAAGUAAAAACUGAAAAUCACCUAAAAUUCAUAAAUAGAAAACUGUUUAAGUCCGGG
rnacentral:sRNA from 1 species